rnacentral:lncRNA from 1 species
UGACGACAAGGGCCAUCCACCUACAUAGGGGUCUAUUUCUGUCCUGCCUCUUUCAAGUCUUAGUAGCAACGUGGUGUUGGUUACUUGCAUGACAUGCUUUUGAAAUACUUAGUUCGGCUUUUGACAUUUUGUGUUGCUCUCGUGUCUUCAAAUGGAAUAAAAUGCGCAGGAAAAUGUAAGCUCUCCACUGUGAACAUCACUCUGGGAUCAGAGGUGUUUCUGCCAUGCAUACUUGGGAAGAGUAAUCAAACAGAUGAAGUGAACUGGAGCCACAAUUCCAGCCUCCUGAGCAUCAGCUUGAAAGGAAACAUCACAUUUGAGGAUCCCAGAGAUGGCAGAGUGGCGGUGUUUCCCAGCCUUUUCAGUAAAGGAAACUUCUCCAUCUCAAUCCAAAUGGUCCAGAACUCUGACCUGGGCAAGUACUGCUGCCAGCUGGGCAAGGAGUGCCAUAGAGUGGAGCUGGAUCAAGUCCAGUUCAGGGAGAAAGAAGCAGAUUGGAAAAUUCCAUGGUAUUAUAUUGUUGCUGGAAUUGGAUGCCUCAUUCUGCUGGUGAUCACAUGUAGCCUUAUUCAUGAAUUCAGAGGACUGUAUGUAAAGAAAUCGACUGAAUCUUAUGACGUCAACUCCUCACAAAAUGAGGCAGCUAAUCCUUCUGGAAACAGACGCAAUGAGAGAGCAAGACGAAAUGAGAACGGCGCGACAGAAGAGGAUGAUGGCCACUAUGAAGACAUGCACGGAGACGAGCACGACAAAGAUUAUGAAACCAUGCAGGAGCACAUCGGCCAACACGAAGAUUCAGACAGAGAUGAAGAGGAGGACUAUGUAAACACUGAGAGGGGACAGGGGGAAGGCCAGUACAUCAAUUCUGAGAGGUCAGAUCCUCGCGGACACCGUGCACAGAGAGGCCACCAGCAGCGGUCACCAACUGUUGUCUAUGAAAAUGACCAUCACGACCCCAGCGGACUUCAGAUAAGAUCACAACCUCAAAACAGGGACUUAAGUGAAACACAAAGUCAGCCACACUCGAGAGCACCGUACUAUGUGAACCAGACAGAAUUCAGCAAUCCUGGAGGCGCUGCCAAAAGAAAACAACCCCGUAAGAAAAAGAAACCUCCUCCCACAGAAUAUCAGUUCAGAAACCCAAUAUAUGGAGACAGCAGUGUGGCACCUAAUAAAUAGACCCUCAUGUUGAAUUCACUAAACACUGAAGCUGGUCGUUUAUGUCAUGGAGUUAAGAUACCUGUUACACCAGUGCAUACAUAACUGUAAUAAAAUAAAAUAAAAA